rnacentral:rRNA from 1 species
GUAGGGAAUAUUGGGCAAUGGACGCAAGUCUGACCCAGCCAUGCCGCGUGCAGGAAGACAGCCUUAUGGGUCGUAAACUGCUUUUAUACGGGAAGAAACCCCUGGUCGUGACCGGGGUCGACGGUACCGUAAGAAUAAGGAUCGGCUAACUCCGUGCCAGCAGCCGCGGUAAUACGGAGGAUCCAAGCGUUAUCCGGAUUUAUUGGGUUUAAAGGGUGCGUAGGCGGGUUGAUAAGUCAGUGGUGAAAGCCUGCAGCUUAACUGCAGAAUUGCCAUUGAUACUAUCAGUCUUGAGUACAGUUGGAGUGGGCGGAAUUUGUCAUGUAGCGGUGAAAUGCUUAGAUAUGACAAAGAACACCUAUCGCGAAGGCAGUUCACUAAACUGUAACUGACGCUGAGGCACGAAAGCGUGGGGAUCAAACAGGAUUAGAAACCCCAGUAGUCC